AUGCACGCUGGCGGCGUGCUUAACACAUGCAAGUCGAACGGGAAACCUUUUAUUUAAGCUUCGGCAGAUUUAGCUGGUUUCUAGUGGCGGACGGGGGAGUAACGCGUGGGUAACCUGCCUUAUACAGGGGGAUAACAGUCAGAAAUGGCUGCUAAUACCGCAUAAGCGCACAGAGCUGCCUGGCUCAGUGUGAAAAACUCCGGUGGUAUAAGAUGGACCCGCGUUGGAUUAGCUGGUUGGUGGGGUAACGGCCCACCAAGGCGACGAUCCAUAGCCGGCCUGAGAGGGUGAACGGCCACAUUGGGACUGAGACACGGCCCAGACUCCUACGGGAGGCAGCAGUGGGGAAUAUUGCACAAUGGGGGAAACCCUGAUGCAGCGACGCCGCGUGAAGGAAGAAGUAUCUCGGUAUGUAAACUUCUAUCAGCAGGGAAGAUAAUGACGGUACCUGACUAAGAAGCCCCGGCUAACUACGUG
rnacentral:rRNA from 1 species